GUAUUUCUUGGGGAUAAAGUGAUUGGGAGGAGGGCGGACUUUCUAACAUUGAAUGCACAUCAACUGGUUAGCGCUAGAGUUGUAAAUUGUUUAGUGGAGAUUUUAUCAGCAGAGGAGGUUCAUGGACGUGGUAAGAGGAGAAGGUGUUGGUGGAUUCCGACAGUGUUAUCGGUGAGUUUUAUUUGGUUUUAAUAAGUAAUAUAAUACAAUGUUGUUGUCUUAUUAGUGAGUUGUAUUAUGUGUGAUGUUUUUAACAGUACCAAAUAACAAAUGUUGGAGUAAUUUCAAUUGUUUGUAGCGUCCUAAUCCGUACAAUUUUUCUACAAAGAGCGAAGGAAAAAAAUGGGAAGAGUGGUGUGGAGAAGUUGGUGAUUGUGAGAAGGUAUUGAUUAGGAGUAGGUUGAAAUUUGAAAAUUUGGUAUAUUUUUAUUUUUUUAUGUAUGGUAUUGGCAUAAUGGGUUGUUUCGUUGUCAUAGGCAUAUGCUCAUGUGCUUGCAAAGAGACAUUGGUUUCUGGAAAUUUUGAAGUUCGAAAAGAAUCUUGUUGAAUUGUAUGAUAACCUCAAAAUUCCUUCGACACCAUUUGGUCUUGCUAUAAUUGAGAAUAUGUUGGAGUCAAUGGACAAUGCAUUUAGUAAGACGUUGAAGGAGGUGCGAGGGAGUGAUUUCUGUUUCCGGGGUUUUCAUAUUGAGCAACCUGUAUCUCACAGUAAAGAGUGCGUACAGUACGACUGCGGUGUGUAUGUGAUGAAGAUGCUUCUGCAAGAAUAUGUGCCUGAAGUUCUAAGUCGACGGACAGAUGAUAAAAUAGAUGAUUUGGAACUUGGGAAAUGUGUAAGGAGUGGACCAACUAAUGUAUGUAGUUAUUUAUUCAAUAUAUUUUGCUAAAGUAUAUUUUUGUUUUUUUACUACAAUGUAACAUUUGAAUUAAUUGUUCUGUUUGUGUCCUAGGUGGCGACCGAGUGGGAUAGGCAACUUAUUGCAGGUAGAAUAUUGACUUCCGGCAUUAAUAAAGUAAGAGAUAAUCUAAUUGAAAAGGCAUCCAAAUGGUAGUGAAAGGAGUAGGGAUAUAUACGGUAUGUUUGAAGUCUUGUAGAACAAAAUUAUUUUGAUAUUCCUCAUCAGCCAUUUCUUUUGAUUGUAUUCCCCGUAAAUUCCAAGGUUUUAU